CUUCGGCUUCCGCAAUUUUUUUAAACUGAAAAAACUUCUCAUUUCCUCAAAAUUAAUGGCUCUUCGAUUUCUCCAAUACCGCUUCGGCUUCCGCUUGGAGCCUUCGAUUUCUCCAAUGCCGCUCUCUGUCUCUAUUCAUUAGGUCCUCAUUUCUAGGGUUUUUUUAGCCCCCGCAGAUCGAAGCUCGAUUCCCCCCCAGAUGUCUUCACUUGCGGCGUUCUCCUCUGGCUCCAGGGCAUCGGCCUCGGAUCUCCUGCGGAGCUCGAGCAGUGGAGUGAUCAGAGUGCCUCUUAGGAUUUUGGGGUGAUCAGGAGCGAUGAGCGUUGAUUUGAGGAGGAGGAGGAGGAGGAGGAGGAGGAUGGUGAAUGUGAUGGCCAAGAUCGUGAAGAAGGAGAAGGUGAAGCACGAGUACCCGUGGCCUCACGAGAUCGAGCCCGAUCCCAAUGUCAAGGGAGGGAUCCUUAGCCCUUCGAGAAGCCUCUCAUGGAUCUGGAGAAGAAGAUCAUGAAUUACAAAAGAUGGCUGUUGAAACUGGACUAGACUCCACAGAUCAGAUCUUAUAUCUUGAGUCUAAGUAUGAGCAGAAAAUAGCCGGUCUUCUGUUCCUAAACUAUAACAAUUCAGAAAAGAAGGGAGAUGUAUUGAAACGGUUUCAGAAAAUAAAUGCAAGAGGAACAUCAUGUUCAAUUGAAAAAGUUACAAAAGAAUAAUUUGUUCAGCAUUGAUAACAGAGGAGAGUCAUCACAAAUGCUAAGUCAAAUAUCUAGCCAAGCAUCACAAUCUAUCUCUGACGACUUCCUGCAAUCGGCUGAAAGAAAGAAUCUAGAUGAGCUACGUGAAAUUCGAGAGAGCUGGAAAUCUGGUUGAUCAAACUAUGAACGGGGAAUUGGCUGAAGUAACUUCUUUUGCUGGACACGUACAAUUAGCGGACUUGUAGAGAAUAUUAAGAGGCAUCCAGUUACCAGCUGCUGUUGAGGACCCUGAUGUAGGUCUAGGAUUAGGGGAUAUUUUGACACCUGAUUUGGUUUCUCCACUGAUUGAAAAGUUACCAGUUCAGAAGACUGGUGUCAUACUUACCUGAGGAACACGGUGAUGAUUAUGUAACAUUCAGUGGUAGCUCCUUGAGAAGUAUCAGGUACUGGACUUGGGAAAGGAGGCGGAUUAUUGGACUUGAUUCUGAG